GACGAACGCUGGCGGCGUGCUUAACACAUGCAAGUCGAACGGUAAGGCCCUGCUUUUGUUGGGGACUCGAGUGUCGAACGGGUGUGUGUCACACGAGUGACAUGCCCUUUACUCUUGGAUAUCAUGAGGGAACAGGGGCGAAUACCGGAUAGGAUCUCCUGCUUCCUCGUGGGGGUUGGAGAGUUUCGGCGGUUGGGGGUGGACUCGCGGCGGAUCAGCUUGGUGGUGGGGUGGUGGCUUACCAAGGCUUGGACGGGUAGCGGGCCUGUGAGGGUGGCAGGCAGAAUUGGGCCAGAGAUAUGGCGCAGACUGCUACGGGGGGCAGCAGUGGGGAAUAGUGAACAAGGGGCGGAAGCCUGAUGUAGCAACGCCGGGUGCGGGAGGAGGGCCUCUGGGUUGUAAACCGUUUUGGCCUGUGACGAAGCGUGAGUGACGGUAAUGGGUAAAGAAGCACCGGCUAACUACGUG
rnacentral:rRNA from 1 species